UUUUUAAAAAAUGUAUGCUUGUUUUGUUAAAAAAUUAAUCUUUGGUAAUUGUAAGUUUUGUACUUGUAAUCUUUCUCUGAGCUCUGGUCAUUAGAUUCGGUUCACAAAAAUUUGGAUGUCUUUUUGAUAUAAAUAAUGUUAAAACUGUUUUAUGCUGUUCUUUAUUGAUGUGCAGGAGUGUCGGUUACCACCGGGAGGGGCUGGGACUGGACUCCCAAAGAGAAAAGGAGUUGCGGGGAGGAGCACCGAGGUCAGAUGAUGAUCACCAAGGCUGUCGGCUACAAUAAGGUAGGUUGUGAAACAUGGAUACUUAUAGAAUGUUUCAUAUUGUUGAUUUUUGAAUUUUGGCCUCAUUGUCUUUGUUAAAAUUGUUGACUUGGAGUUUCGGUCUGACAAGAAUGUGGUGUGUGGUUCUGGUCUUCUUAGAGAUGCAGGCUGUUGAAGUGUGAGUUGGUGGUCGGUCAUCCUCAGGGUGCUGGUGUAGAUGCAAGUAAUUUAGAAUGGUGGAGUCUGUCUGGUCAGAGAUACCUGGACAGUCCUGGAUGCUUCGGAGGUCUGUAGAGGAUGGCAUUUGAAAUGAAAAUUUGAAGGGCUUGUAUUGUGCGGAGACUCUGGGAUUCUGGCAGUGACCCAGGAUCUCCACAUGGAUGGCAGCGAUGCUGACCGCUGGGUGGGAUGGCCCCCAGUGCAACACCGGCUGCCUGGGUCUGGUCCGGACUGUGGACGGACGGGAGGACCUUGGAGGAUUGAUUGUACCGCUUUGCCUGGACGGAGUGGGGUCAGUCUUUUGCAUGUCCCUCUUCCACAGAGACCAAUCACUUUGUGGAUCUGGUGAGGCCUGCUGUUCUGAUGCUUCUGCCUCGGGUGCUGUGCAGACCUGGGUGUGACUGUGUGUGGGCUGGUCUCUGUCACUUUUCUGUUUUGUCUGGACUUGAGUAUAGUUUGUUUGUUCUUCUGGGAUCUCUGAUUGUAUUGAUGGCUGGGUCAGCUGUGGUAUCAGUUUGGGAGCAAGGGGGAUGUCCAGAUCCUUGCACGGAGCUGCGGCCAGCUUGUUAGCUCAUUAUAUAUAAAGGUCUGAGGAUAUAAAAGUUCAUAAACAUUAAAGGUUUAAAAAGUAAUUUAAGAUAAUACUAAUAAACAGUAAAAACUAUGACUACAUGCUGUUUGGGUUGCAGGCUCAGGACUUUCUGUGUUUUUGCUGGGGCUCAAAGGUAUGAGUCUAUUUUUACUGUUGUAUAGAUAUCUGUUAUUUGCUACUUCUAUAGUAUAGAAUUUAAUAUGGAGGGGGUGCAGAAGGCAUCACCGCUCCUACUUGUUAUAAUUGUGGAAAACCUGGGCACAUUCAAAGGGAUUGCAAGAAAUCCAAAAGCUCAGGACAAAAAAAAAAAAAGUUUACCGGGCAUAUGUCCUCGGUGCAAAAGGGGAAAACAUUGGAGUAGUGAGUGUAAAUCAAAAUAUUAUAAAAAUGGCUCUCCUCUCACUAAAGAAGGAGAGGAAGAACCUAAAGAGCCAAAAAACUAGAACAGGGAUGUUCUAAUCACCUCGGGACGAGGGUAUGCUUGUGUGUUUCCACAGAAUGCUGACUCCCCCAUUUGGAUCCCAGAUCGCCUCAUCCGACCUGCUGUUGCAAAACAGAAGAAGGAAAAGACGGUGGCGGAAGCAGAAAAAGCAGCUCCAGCAGCAAAUGAAGAAGUCUUCAAAGAGAAGAAACUAGAGCAGCUUUAAGUAUAGUAAAAAAGGGGGGGCAAAAGCAAGGGGCCAUUUUUAUGGGAAAGAAGAGAUUUGCAUAAAAGCAGUAUGCUCUGCAAAGGCUCCUUGUGUCUCUGCUUAGAAAGAGAGAGAUUUAAGGAAAAGAAGUCAAAGUCCAGAGAGGAACCACAGGAAGGACUUUGGUAAAAGUUUUCAUGUUGUGUGGAAAGUAAGAGAAGGCAGGAGACUGGAAUAGUGAAGAGAAGGGAAGGGAAAGAGGAGUUCGUCUAAAGUAAAACGUCUGGCUGGGCCAGAAGAGCAGAGGGUGACAGGAAAAGUCUGACCGAGGGUGUGUGGGAAGUUGUAGAAGGCCAGAGGGGGCGCGAACUGUAUUUGCUUUGGUUUCUCAUACCUGCAAAUACUGAAUUUGAAAAGAAACCGUAAAACGUGUUGGAAAUUUGACUAUGUUAGGUUAAUUCUGGUUGGAUUUCUUCAUUUCAAAAAGAAGCUGGAAGCAAAAAUAAAUGUGCUGGAGGAAGUAGUGCUCGCUCUUGGUCAGGACAUUGCUAAUUUAAAAACAACUCUAUCGACACGUUGUCAUGGUAAUUUUAAAUCAAUCUGUGUCACACCAUUACCUUAUAAUACUUCACAGCCAUGGGAUAAAGUUAAGGCUCACCUACAGGGAUUGUGGCAGGAUAACGAUAUUACUCAUGAUUUAGCCUCAUUACAAAAGGAUAUUUCUGCUAUGAGUCAAUCUCAUUUACAAUUAGGGGGACUGCAAGAUUUGGCUUCACAAUUGGAACGUGGACUUAAGAGCCUUAAUCCCUUAAAUUGGGCAGUGGAACAGGAGGUGUUCGAGCUUCAUUUUAAAAAUAAAAAAGGGAGACCUGCCACGUCCACAGCAGUGACUGCCGUGUAGUGACAAAAUGCCUCUGCGCUGGCUUUUGCCUGCUGAAGGAUUGGGGUUAGAGCUUCUUGGAGCGAAGCCCCAGGUGGUCCCCCUGGCAAUCAGCAGUCCAGA